rnacentral:rRNA from 1 species
GAUGAACGCUGGCGGCGUGCCUAAUACAUGCAAGUCGAGCGAACAGACGAGGAGCUUGCUCCUCUGACGUUAGCGGCGGACGGGUGAGUAACACGUGGAUAACCUACCUAUAAGACUGGGAUAACUUCGGGAAACCGGAGCUAAUACCGGAUAAUAUAUUGAACCGCAUGGUUCAAUAGUGCAAGACGGCUUUGCUGUCACUUAUUGAUGGAUCCGCGCCGCAUUAGCUAGUUGGUAAGGUAACGGCCUACCAAGGCAACGAUGCGUAGCCGACCUGAGAGGGUGAUCAGCCACACUGGAACUGAGACACGGUCCAGACUCCUACGGGAGGCAGCAGUGGGGAAUCUUCCACAAUGGGCGAAAGCCUGACGGAGCAACGCCGCGUGAGUGAUGAAGGUCUUCGGAUCGUAAAACUCUGUUAUUAGGGAAGAACAAAUGUGUAAGUAACUAUGCCCGUCUCGACGGUACCUAAUGAGAAAGCCACGGCUAACUACGUG